rnacentral:rRNA from 1 species
AGAGUUUGAUCAUGGCUCAGGACGAACGCUGGCGGCGUGCUUAACACAUGCAAGUCGAACGGAAAGGCCCUUCGGGGUACUCGAGUGGCGAACGGGUGAGUAACACGUGGGUGAUCUGCCCUGCACUUUGGGAUAAGCCUGGGAAACUGGGUCUAAUACCGAAUAGGACCACGCGCUUCAUGGUGUGUGGUGGAAAGCUUUUGCGGUGUGGGAUGGGCCCGCGGCCUAUCAGCUUGUUGGUGGGGUAAUGGCCUACCAAGGCGACGACGGGUAGCCGGCCUGAGAGGGUGACCGGCCACACUGGGACUGAGAUACGGCCCAGACUCCUACGGGAGGCAGCAGUGGGGAAUAUUGCACAAUGGGCGCAAGCCUGAUGCAGCGACGCCGCGUGAGGGAUGACGGCCUUCGGGUUGUAAACCUCUUUCAGUAGGGACGAAGCGAAAGUGACGGUACCUACAGAAGAAGGACCGGCCAACUACGUGCCAGCAGCCGCGGUAAUACGUAGGGUCCGAGCGUUGUCCGGAAUUACUGGGCGUAAAGAGCUCGUAGGUGGUUUGUCGCGUUGUUCGUGAAAACUCACAGCUUAACUGUGGGCGUGCGGGCGAUACGGGCAGACUAGAGUACUGCAGGGGAGACUGGAAUUCCUGGUGUAGCGGCGGAAUGCGCAGAUAUCAGGAGGAACACCGGUGGCGAAGGCGGGUCUCUGGGCAGUAACUGACGCUGAGGAGCGAAAGCGUGGGGAGCGAACAGGAUUAGAUACCCUGGUAGUCCAA